UAUUAGUAUUUUGCUUGAAAUAAAGUGAAGAAUUUAAUUGGCAAGAAAGUAAUCAAAGUAAUUAGUUAUGCAAACUCAAUCUACUCAUAUCUCAAAAUUGACCCAUACCCCCUACACUUGAACGCUUAAUAUACUUCAUUAUUUCUAAGAAUCAGUUCUAAAUACAUUUCAGAACAAUAUAGCAUUCAAGUAUUAUUAAAUAAAAAUUCGCAAAGAUAAGAUAGUAUAUACCUAUAUAAAGAGCAGGCAGAAUCUUUUAUAGUAUGUAAAAUAUAUUGUUUAACAGUUCGAGUAUUCUUCAAGUUGAUCAAAAUGAAAGUUGUUUUUCAAAUUGUUGCUGCUGUCCUGCUGGUCCAACUGGUCAUAGCUGCAGAAAAGUCAGAUGACUCUCAAUGCGACACGAUAUGCCAUACUGACAAGCCUGUUGACGACAUUCGUUACUUUCCCUAUUGUCCCCAAUUUUGUCUAUGUUCGACACAUGACAACGAACUAUUAAAUUGCCCACCUGGAAUGAUAUUUAAUCCAGAGUUGGAAGUUUGCGACUAUCCGAAACCUCUUGGUCGCAUUGACACUCUUCAUUAAUGUGGAAUAUUUACGAGUAUACUCAUUGUAUGCCAGAAAUAAAUACUUAAUACAAUA